rnacentral:rRNA from 1 species
GAUGAACGCUAGCGGCAGGCCUAAUACAUGCAAGUCGAGGGGUAAAUAUGUAGCAAUAUAUAUGAGACCGGCGCACGGGUGCGUAACACGUAUGCAACCUACCUUUUACUGGGGAAUAGCUCAGAGAAAUCUGAAUUAAUACCCCAUAACACUGCAGAAUGGCAUCAUUUUGCAUUUAAAGCUCCGGCGGUAAAAGAUGGGCAUGCGGAACAUUAGCUAGUUGGUGAGGUAAUGGCUCACCAAGGCUACGAUGGUUAGGGGGUCUGAGAGGAUACUCCCCCAAACUGGUACUGAGACACGGACAAGACUCCUACGGGAGGCAGCAGUAGGGAAUAUUGGGCAAUGGACGAAAGUCUGACCCAGCCAUGCCGCGUGCAGGAUGAAUGUUCUAUGGAUUGUAAACUGCUUUUAUAUGGGAAGAAACCCCUGGAUGCGUCCGGGGCUGACGGUACCAUUUGAAUAAGGAUCGGCUAACUUCGUGCCAGCAGCCGCCGUAACAC